ACACCAGGAAUUCCGCUACCCUCUACCACACUCUAGUCGUCCAGUAUCCACUGCAGUUCCCAGGUUGAGCCCAGGGCUUUCACAACGGACUUAAACGACCACCUACGCACGCUUUACGCCCAGUAAUUCCGAGUAACGCUUGCACCCUUCGUAUUACCGCGGCUGCUGGCACGAAGUUAGCCGGUGCUUAUUCUUUGGGUACCGUCAUCCCAACCGGGUAUUAGCCAGCUGGAUUUCUUUCCCAACAAAAGGGCUUUACAACCCGAAGGCCUUCUUCACCCACGCGGUAUGGCUGGAUCAGGCUUGCGCCCAUUGUCCAAUAUUCCCCACUGCUGCCUCCCGUAGGAGUCUGGACCGUGUCUCAGUUCCAGUGUGGCUGAUCAUCCUCUCAGACCAGCUACGGAUCGUCGCCUUGGUGGGCCUUUACCCCGCCAACUAGCUAAUCCGACAUCGGCUCAUUCAAUCGCGCAAGGUCCGAAGAUCCCCUGCUUUCACCCGUAGGUCGUAUGCGGUAUUAGCGUAAGUUUCCCUACGUUAUCCCCCACGAAAAAGUAGAUUCCGAUGUAUUCCUCACCCGUCCGCCACUCGCCACCCAGAGAGCAAGCUCUCCUGUGCUGCCGUUCGACUUGCAUGUGUUAGGCCUACCGCCAGCGUUCACUCUGAGCCAGGAUCAAACUCUC
rnacentral:rRNA from 1 species